UACGUAGGGUGCAAGCGUUUGUCCGGAAUUAUUGGGCGUAAAGAGCUCGUAGGCGGUCUGUCGCGUCUGCUGUGAAAACUCAGGGCUUAACCCUGAGCUUGCAGUGGGUACGGGCAGACUAGAGUGCGGUAGGGGAGACUGGAAUUCCUGGUGUAGCGGUGAAAUGCGCAGAUAUCGGGAGGAACACCGGUGGCGAAGGCGGUUCUCUGGGCCUGACCUGACGCUGAGGCGCGAAAGCUAGGGGAGCAAACAGG
rnacentral:rRNA from 1 species